rnacentral:tRNA from 1 species
GCCGCUGUGGCUCAGUGGUAGAGCGGCUCCUUGGUAAGGAGUAGGUCGAGGGUUCAAUUCCCUUCAGCGGCU